rnacentral:rRNA from 1 species
UAAGUAAGUGGUGGAAAUUAAACCAAAUGGGAUAUCUUUAGUAAUUGCGAAUGAACAAGGAUAUGCUUAACUUGACAAAUGGAGCUAUUGGCUUUGAAUUGUAUUGUGGAAAUGUAUUACCAACAGAGGUGCAGGUGCCAGCCUAUUGAAAUAAAGCGUCAAUGAGGGUGAGAAUCCUGUUUGUCAUGUGCAGCCCUUUGUGCACGGUGUAUAUUUGCUGAGUCACACUCCUUGGCAUUGGAAUGCAAAGUGGGUGGUAAGUUUCAUGUAAAGGUAAACAUGCAAUUGAGACUGAUAGCACACAAGUACCAUGAGGGAAAUAUGAAAAGGACUUUGAAAAGAGAAUUAAAUGAGUUUGUAUUUGCUGAACACAAAGUAAACAGACUUGAUUUGCUUGGUGGGAGUGUUGCACUUGCUUGACAAGAGCUUUGGGCUGUGGGUGUAAUGAUUCUUUCUUUGCAUGCCAGUCUCUAUUUGUACAUCUGAUUACCUUUGCACAUGAAUGAUAAGUCUCCUGUGGGGGGUGGAUUGCAUGUGCAUGUAAUGAUUUGUGUUUUGAUAAAUGUGUCUGGUGUAUGUGUGUGUUCCUGUGCUUGGGGAUGCUUCCUUCCUUGGACUUACAAGCCCUGACACACACAUGCUGGCAAAAUGCUUCUGCUUGACCCG